CGUGGAGCCCAGCCGCAGGUUCGUUGGCUCCCCGGAGGAGGGCCGCGCCUCCAGCCGAGUUACCCCGGCUGAGCGAGGGGCUUCAGGGCUAAGCCCGGGGCCAGUGGAGGCGUCGUUACCGCGCGUGGCAGGCACGCCGAGACGCGCGGGCAGGCACGUGUGGACGUCUGAGCGCUGCUGGACCGGGACGAGUGCACGCCCGGCCUCAUUCUCUUCGGAUUCCGCGGCAGGGUUCCUUAGGGACUGCACUCGGAAGUUUCCGUGGUUGCGAGGAGGCUGUGCUUCGGGGGAAGGUAUUAAGAAAAAAUGUUUCCUUAAAUUUGCUUCUGUUUUUGCCUUAUCAAUGUCAUUCAUAUUGAGUAUCUUAAGAGAGAUGCUGGAAUAUUUUGGUGUUCCCGUAAACCAGAUUUUGCAGAUUUGGGAAAAUAAAGACUAUGGAUCAGCUCGGAGUAUUGUUCGUAUUAUUGGGAAAAUUCUUCCUUUAGAACCUUGUCCCAGGCCUAAUUUUGAGCUGAUCCCACUUUUCAACUCUGUGGACCCGGCUAACUGUGAAUCUGUAGUUCCAUCUUUUGCUGAUGUUUUGUAUGUGGCAAAUGAUGAAGAAGCUAGUUAUCUCAGAUUUCGAAAUAGUAUAUGGAAAAAUGAAGAAGAGGAGAAAAUUGCAUCUUUCCAUCCUUUGCAACUAGUUGAAGAUCCACUGACACCCGCUCUAAGGCAUAAUAAACCAAGAGGAAAUGAUUGGCCUGAAAGUGAAGCUGCAAUUAAAAAAAUAGCUGCCCUUGAAGAUGAGCUAGCUUUUCUUCGUUGUCAGAUUGCUGCGAUUGUGGGAAGGCAAGAACUGAGAAACAGUAUAGAUUCUGGUUCCUUGGAUUUGAACGACAGGCCAAGUGGUUUGAGACAAAUGCCGUCAUCAGAGGCUACACAACUCAGUGUGGAACCAGAUUCGUUUUCAAGUUCAGUGCUUCCCUCUCCUCCUCCACCACCACUGCCUCCUCCGGUUUCAUCUCUACAGCUUCCAUGUUCUCCUCUCAUGCAAACAACAUCUAAUAAUAUUUAUGCAUCAGAUAAUUCAGCCACUGAAGUGAAAAAACAGCCCCCAGAUACUAGGAAAACCAAUUAUAGUCAUUCAAAAAGCCAGAAAAAUAAGGAUGUUCCAAAUAUGUUGGAUGUUCUAAAGGAUAUGAAUAAGGUUAAGCUACGUGCUAUUGAAAGGUCCCCUGGAGGCAGACCCAUUCAUAAAAGGAAAAGACAAGACUCACCGUGGGAUCCAUUGUCUUUAAUAUCCCAUGCCCUUAAGCAGAAGUUUGCAUUCCAAGAAGAAGAUUCCUUUGAGAAAGAAAAUAAUUCUUGGGAGUCUUCUCCAUUUUCUAGUCCAGAAACUUCAAGGUAUGAACUGGGUGUCUGAAACUUUGAGAGGACCAGAGAAGAAUGAUGUGAUAGAUUCAACCUAACCAUAUGUAAAGUUUGGACACCACGUUUCACAGCCAGAAGGACACUGAACUAAGGGAAGAAGUGACAAACACAGCAGGUGUAGACCAAGACACGAGCAACAGGGGCUGUGUCUGCGCCUGGAAGACAGGACUGCAGAAGUAUGCCGGCAUGCCUCUCCCUACGUGUGAAAGGAUCUCAUCUCCUGUUAGUGAAGUUAAAUGUAGUCUGUACACUGGGGUAUACUAGUGUAAAGGUCUGAAGGAUCUUGGCUGCUAAGAAUACCUGUCUCUGGUUUUAGAAGAUCCAGCUGUUAACUGGCUACUGAUGGUAGUUAGGUAUAUGGAUCUUUUGUUUUUUUCCAUGUAUGUUAAUGUUAUUAAAAGCUGCAUCUAUACUUUGAAUGAUUCUCCUAAGAGCUAAAUGGUAAAUGAUUUAAUGUUUCUCCUUAGAGAACAGUAAGGUCUCAUUAUAAUGUAACAGAAGCCAUUUAAUGAAUUAAGAAAAUAAUGUAAACUAAGUCUGUAUUGUACUACUCAACAGAUGAUAGUACGUUUGGGCUUUUAAAAACAAUCUCUUAAAGCAAUUAUGACUUCCUAACUUAAGAGCCUUUGAAUUUUGAAAAACUUGGUAGUGAUCUGGUUUACUUGGCCUCCAGCAACGUGGAGGUUUUCAAAUAAUAUAAAAUUAUAUUUUUUUCAUUAAGAUAGCCAUACUUUGAAUCAUAUAUUGAAUCUCCUAAAAAAUCUUCCUGAGGUGAUAAAGACUUAUUCUUAGAAGCUGAUUUUGACUGUUAAAUUCUAGACUGUGGAAGUGUUUAAAGAAUCUUCUUGAUAAGUUUGCCUACACUUGCUAUAUAGCUGUGUACGCCCAUCAUUUUAUUUCCUUUGUUCCUUAUACACUCCGUUCCUUUGUAAAUAA